rnacentral:rRNA from 1 species
CCAAGGAGUCUAACAUGUGCGCGAGUCGUAGGUUGAAAAAGACCGAAGGCGAAAUGAAAGUGAAGACACUCUCGGGUGUUGAGGGGAGAUCCCAUUUCACCUCGGUGGUUUGGGCGCAUCCCCGGGGCGUCGUGAUCUCGUUGCAGAUGCGACGCACCAAGAGCGUACACGUUGGGACCCGAAAGAUGGUGACCUAUGCCUGGCCAGGUCGAAGUCAGGGGAAACCCUGAUGGAGGACCGCAGCGAUUCUGACGUGCAAAUCGAUCGUCGGAGCUUGGUAUAGGGGCGAAAGACUAAUCGAACCGUCUAGUAGCUGGUUCCCCCCGAAGUUUCCCUCAGGAUAGCUGGCACUCAAUGCAAGGAGACGGAGUCUCAUCCGGUAAAGCGAAUGAUUAGAGGCCUUGGGGCCGUAACGACCUCAACCUAUUCUCAAACUUUCAAUGGGUGAGAAGCUCAGCCGUACUUGAUAUGCGGCAGAGAUUUCGGAUCCGAGUGCCAAGUGGGCCACUUUUGGUAAGCAGAACUGGCGCUGCGGGAUGAACCAAACGUUCGGUUCAAGCGCCUAAUCAACAGCAUAUUCCGGAUCCCACGAAAAGGAGUUGGUUGCUCCACACAGCACGACGGUGGCCAUGGAGGUGGAACCCGCUUACGAGUGUGUCACAACUUCCUGCCGAAGUAACUAGCCCUUAAAAUGGGAGGCGCUAUAGCGCUUGUGCUAUACCGGACCGCCGACGU